rnacentral:rRNA from 1 species
UACGAAGGGGGCUAGCGUUGCUCGGAAUCACUGGGCGUAAAGCGCACGUAGGCGGAUCUUUAAGUCAGGGGUGAAAUCCCGAGGCUCAACCUCGGAACUGCCCUUGAUACUGGGGAUCUCGAGUCCGGAAGAGGUUGGUGGAACUCCGAGUGUAGAGGUAAAAUUCGUAGAUAUUCGGAAGAACACCAGUGGCGAAGGCGGCCAACUGGUCCGGCACUGACGCUGAGGUGCGAAAGCGUGGGGAGCAAACAGG